ACGACGGUAGCUCAGCUGGAAGAGCACCAGGCUACGAACCUGGAGCGCGCACGUUCGAAUCGUGUCCGUCGUACCA
rnacentral:tRNA from 1 species